rnacentral:rRNA from 1 species
GAUGAACGCUAGCGGCAGGCCUAAUACAUGCAAGUCGAACGGGAUCUGAGGGUAGCUUGCUACCCGAUUUGAGAGUGGCGCACGGGUGCGUAACGCGCGAGCAACCUACCCAUAUCAGGGGGAUAGCCCGAAGAAAUUCGGAUUAACACCGCAUAAUAAUACGCUAACACAUGUUAAUGUAUUUAAAUAUUUAUAGGAUAUGGAUGGGCUCGCGUGACAUUAGCUAGUUGGUAAGGUAACGGCUUACCAAGGCGACGAUGUCUAGGGGCUCUGAGAGGGGAAUCCCCCACACGGGUACUGAGACACGGACCAGACGCCUACGGGAGGCAGCAGUAAGGAAUAUUGGUCAAUGGGCGCAAGCCUGAACCAGCCAUGCCGCGUGCAGGAUGACUGCCCUAUGGGUUGUAAACUGCUUUUGUUAGGGAAUAAACCUACUUAUGUAUAAGUAGCUGAAUGUACCUAAAGAAUAAGGAUCGGCUAACUCCGUGCCAGCCGCCGCCGUAA